CCUACGGGAGGCAGCAGUAGGGAAUUUUCGUCAAUGGGCGCAAGCCUGAACGAGCGAUGCCGCGUGAGUGAAGAAGGCCUUCGGGUCGUAAAGCUCUGUUGCGGGGGAAAAAAGGCAGCAUCAGGAAAUGGGUGCUGACUGAUGGUGCCCCGCCAGAAAGUCACGGCUAACUACGUGCCAGCAGCCGCGGUAAUACGUAGGUGGCGAGCGUUAUCCGGAAUGGUUGGGCGGAAAGGGUGCGCAGGCGGUCAUGCAAGUCUGGAGUGAAACGCAUGAGCUCAACUCAUGCAUGGCUUUGGAAACUGGAAGACUGGAGAGCAGGAGAGGGCGGUGGAACUCCAUGUGUAGCGGUAAAAUGCGUAGAUAUAUGGAAGAACACCAGUGGCGAAGGCGGCCGCCUGGCCUGUUGCUGACGCUGAGGCACGAAAGCGUGGGGAGCAAAUAGGAUUAGAUACCCGGGUAGUC
rnacentral:rRNA from 1 species